UAUCCAUUCGCCCCCACCAAGAUGCAUCUGCAUCCAUCUCUCCUAUUCUCUCGCUCCAUCUCUCAUCUUCUCAAAUCUCUCUGUGGGCGGAGCGAAGUGAGAGCCAAGCCAGCCGAGCCGACCCCUCUCCUCUUCCCCUUCCUCGCAGCGGUUCGCGAUUUGCCCCUUCUCGCUCCAUCUCUCUUUCUCAUCCCGUGCUUCCACCGAUAUGCGCAGCCAACGGGAUUUAGCGCUAUGAGACAACUGCUCGGCGAAGUUCGUUCCCAUGUUGCCGGCGUGUUUAAUCGGGUGACUGCAUGCAGGGCCGGAUGUGAAGCCUCCAAAAUCGUUGGUGCCCCCCGUUCCACCUGAGCGGAUGUGAAGCCAAGUCGCUGGCACCCCGUUCUAGAACACCAGAUCCGGAGUGCCGCCGCCGGUUCCUGUCCCCAUCACGCCCGCGUCAACGACCGCCAAGUUGCUGGCACCCCGUUCCAGACCACCAAAUCUGGAGCGCCGCCGCCGGAUCUCGUCCCCAUCACACCUGCGUCAACGACCGCCGCGGAACCCUCCUCGGCUCCUCCUCCUCAAUGAUUCACGGCAAGAACCGGGACAGCGCCGUGCCCUUCCCCGUCUCCAACACUACAGUGCUCGCGUCGUCGGUGCUGUCGUAUUUCAUUAUCAUUCGAAUAUGUGUGGAUUUGACCCCUUCGUUGCCUUCCCAUCAUGUUGUGUUCAUUCUUUUCUGAAUCUGAUUCUCAUACCUGGUGCGAAUCUUCUAUAAAUCGUUGUCAGAAUUUGUUCCUUUGAUCCCGGUUAUAAUUCGUUGAAUCGCCCUCGCGGAUCCCGUUUGGGUGAGGAUUAUUGUAUGGUUUUUUUACUACACUACAUAUGUUGGUAAAGCAUUUACCUAAGUUAUGGAAAAUUCAUAAUUCAUCAGUUAUUUUAGAUAAUACUAAAAAACAAGAUAGAGUAAGAUACAGAAGUGUAAAAGAAAGUGGAUUCAUCAGAUGAUACAUGAGUCCCUAA
rnacentral:rRNA from 1 species